rnacentral:rRNA from 1 species
ACCCGACAGCCCAGUACACCCGCUGUCCGCCCGGGUACUACAAGCACGAGCUUCAAACCCAAAGGACUUGACGGUGCUUUACAUCCGCCUAGAGGAGCCUGUCCUAGAACCGAUAACCCCCGUUAAACCUCACCUUUUCUUGCUUAAACCGCCUAUAUACCGCCGUCUCCAGCCUACCCUGUGAGGGAAUCAUAGUGCGCACAAUCGGCAUACCCCAGUACGUCAGGUCGAGGUGUAGCGUAUGGAAAGGGAAGAGAUGGGCUACAUUCAAUGAAACAAUGAAUACGGAUGGUUAAUUGAAAAAUUGACUUGAAGGAGGAUUUAGUAGUAAACGGGG